rnacentral:rRNA from 1 species
CGCGUAGGCGGCUCGUUAAGUCUGGGGUGAAAUCUCCCGGCUCAACCGGGAGGGGUCCUCGGAUACUGGCAGGCUGGAGGGGAGCAGAGGAGAGCGGAAUUCCCGGUGUAGUGGUGAAAUGCGUAGAUAUCGGGAGGAACACCAGUGGCGAAGGCGGCUCUCUGGGCUCUACCUGACGCUGAGGUGCGAAAGCGUGGGGAGCGAACCGGAUUAGAUACCCGGGUAGUCCACGCUGUAAACGAUGGACACUAGGUGUGGGAGGUAUCGACCCCUUCCGUGCCGAAGCCAACGCUAUAAGUGUCCCGCCUGGGGAGUACGGCCGCAAGGCUAAA